CGUUCUCGCUGUCAGAUGUUUUACGGAACUUUCCAUAGAUCAUGUACACGGUGAUAUAGGCACACAGCAGAAAAAUGACCUGUGGAGGUAACUCCACAAAGGAGCUAAAGCAGUCACUUGCAGUGGCAUUCCUGACACAACCUUACCUUCAUGACGGUGUUGUAAAUUGAGAUGAAGGUGGUGAAUAGGUCAAGAUAACGGGUUGUGAAGACAAGAGCAAAAAGGAUCUGGCUCUUCCCGGAGAUACCUGCGUGGCAGGGGAGAUGACAGACGUGAGAGAAAAGGUAUUCAAAGCUCAUCCUCUGCAUCAUCACCAUUGAAAUUCCACUCCUUGUGCACCCACCCUAUCCUCUUGCUGGAAGGAUACCUUCUCCAGCGAAGAACUGGCUCCAGGACAAAAUAAAUCCUUCAAAAUCCUAA